UACAGCGGGGGCUAGCGUUGUUCGGAAUUACUGGGCGUAAAGCGCACGUAGGCGGCUUUGUAAGUUAGAGGUGAAAGCCCGGGGCUUAACCCCGGAAUAGCCUUUAAGACUGCAUCGCUUGAACACGGGAGAGGUGAGUGGAAUUCCGAGUGUAGAGGUGAAAUUCGUAGAUAUUCGGAAGAACACCAGUGGCGAAGGCGGCUCACUGGACCGUUGUUGACGCUGAGGUGCGAAAGCGUGGGGAGCAAACAGG
rnacentral:rRNA from 1 species